AGCUUUCGGAGCUCGGCGUACCGCUCAGUAACACGUGGGUAACCUAACCUAUGCAGGGGAAUAACCUCGGGAAACUGAGUAUAAUGCCCCAUAGUCCACUACGCCUGGAACGGUGAGUGGAUCAAAGCUCAGGCGGCAUAGGAUGGGCCUGCGGCGUAUCAGGUUGUAGGGGGUGUAAAGUACCCUCUAGCCAUCUACGCGUACGGGUGUUGGGAGACAUAGCCCGGAGAUGGAUUCUGAGACACGAAUCCAGACCCUACGGGGUGCAGCAGGCGCGAAAACUUGACAAUGCGAGCAAUCGUGAUCAGGGAACUCCAAGUGGCUGGGGUAAGACCCAGUCUUUUCAUAACUCUUCAAAGGUUGUAGAAUAAGGGGUGGGUAAGGACGGUGCCAGCCGCCGCGGUAAUACCGGCGCCUCAAGUGGUAGUCGCUUUUAUUGGGCCUAAAACGUCCGUAGCCGGUUUGGUACAUUCGUGGGUAAAUCAACUCGCUCAACGAGUUGAAUUCUGCGAGGACGGCCAGACUUGGGACCGGGAGAGGUGUGGGGUACUCUCAGGGUAGGGGUAAAAUCCUGUCAUCCUGAGAGGACCACCUGUUGCGAAGGCGCCACACUAGAACGGAUCCGACGGUCAGGGACGAAGCCUAGGGGCACGAACCGGAUUAGAUACCCGGGUAGUCCUAGGUGUAAACGCUGUGGACUUGAUGUUGGAGAAGCUCCGAGCUUCUUCAGUGUCGAAGCGAAGGUGAUAAGUCCACUGCCUGGGAAGUACGGUCGCAAGGCUGAAACUCAAAGGAAUUG
rnacentral:rRNA from 1 species